GCAAACUUGGUCAUUUAGAGGAAGUAAAAGUCGUAACAAGGUUUCCGUAGGUGAACCUGCGGAAGGAUCAUUAACGAGUCCAGGCGGACGACGCUUUAAACGUCGCCCGUCCACCUCUCCACCCGUGUCUAUAUUACCACGUUGCUUCGGCGGUUUCGCGGUUUCGCGGCCGCCGAAGACCCCUAGAACUCUGCCUGGAAGGUUGCAGUCUGAGCGAUAAAAUAAAUCAGCAAAACUUUCAACAACGGAUCUCUUGGUUCCGGCAUCGAUGAAGAACGCAGC
rnacentral:misc_RNA from 1 species